AUACUCGCUUCAACAGCACAUAUACUAAAAUUGGAAUGAUACAGAGAAGAUUAGCAUGGCCCCUGCUCAAGGUUGUUAAAAAAGAUAUCAAAGUUUCCAGAAAAACU
ensembl:snRNA U6 U6 spliceosomal RNA